GUCCACGCUGUAAACGUUGGGUGCUAGGUGUCGCGGGUAUUGACCCCUGCGGUGCCGACGCUAACGCAUUUAGCACCCCGCCUGGGGAGUACGGUCGCAAGGCUAAAACUCAAAGGAAUUGACGGGGCCCGCACAAGCGGUGGAGCAUGUGGUUUAAUUCGAAGCAACGCGCAGAACCUUACCUGGACUUGACAUCUGGGGAACCCCCUGGAAACAGGGGGGUGCCUUCGGGAGCCCCAAGACAGGUGCUGCAUGGCUGUCGU
rnacentral:rRNA from 1 species